AUCACAGGAUUGCAUCAUCCACAUAAACAUGGUCUUUAUGUAAUAGCUGGAGAGUCCUUUCCAUUCCAUUGUAUCACGUAAUUUCUGGUAAUAAAUCAAACAUGUGUAAAUGUACGAAUUGUUUAUUGUUAAGUAGGAAUAUUUCUAGACUUGUGCGCCACUCUUCAUCAGAGGAAUUUUUUGAUCCUUUAGGAAUAGCAUACCACUUUCGUUCUACUCCACCCUUAGAUGGGUGUUUCUAAUAAAAAGAAUGUGUUAUUGGUACACACAAGGAAAAGCAAAGAGUUAUUGGACUGCCUUCCUUACUGAGCUAUACUUACAUUAACUGUAGCUCGUAUUUUUUCAGGGAGAAGUUUGAGAGAAAAUUCAAGUGCUGGGACAAGAUCUACUGACAAUGUUUUACCAUUGUUCAUAGUAACAUUGAUAGUAAUUGCAGGCCCUGACCACGAACGUGCAACUCUCUGAUGUAUGUAAAAUUAGAAGUAUUAUUGAAAGUCAUGGUUAUAGCAUUUAAAAAUUUGUAGUUGAGUGAACAUGUAUUUACCCUCAAAUUUUCCCAUUGCUUGUUCUCAAUUUCAUUUAAAGCAGUAUCAACUACACUUGUCAUCCACUUAAGUACUUCUGAUCGCAUAAUAAAACCAUCAACAUCUAA